UUUGCUCAUCAUCACUACGUGGACGGUCGCCCACAGUGAUAAUUGUCAAUUUUAAACAAAGAAGAUGAUAUCGGCCUAAUGGGCGCCCUCAUAAUUGAUUGCCAUCGUUUUAUGGAAUUUUUUAUCACUUCGUCGAGAAGGCUUGUUCACGUAAACACUGGACUUAAAAAACCCCCCAAAAAACGGUCUGGACCGGUUAUAUCGGUCGAGUUUGUUGGCCAGUGCAAAUCGCCAGCCGCUUAAAAGAGUUGUAGCGAAACAGUUGAAGCGAACCAUUCACACAGAAACCCGCUGAUGUAAAAACAGCUCAUAGGCCUACCACAUGGUCAUCCGUCUAAAUUUAAUAGGCCUCUCUGGCAGACUCCGGAUGCAGCUUGCAGACCACCAGCGUGAUUACAAAAAUUGGCUUUUACUUAGCGUCAAGCCUAAAUGCACAAAAACCACUUUUAACCUGAAUAUGGCGGUUCCAAUGGUAGUUUGACGGCAUCGGUCCGAAUAAAUAUAUGAGAGCAUUUGUCUA